UACGGAGGAUGCGAGCGUUAUCCGGAUUUAUUGGGUUUAAAGGGUGCGUAGGCGGGCUGUUAAGUCAGCGGUAAAAUACGGGGGCUCAACCUCCGCCCGCCGUUGAAACUGACGGUCUUGAGUGGGCGAGAAGUAUGCGGAAUGCGUGGUGUAGCGGUGAAAUGCUUAGAUAUCACGAAGAACUCCGAUUGCGAAGGCAGCCUGCUGGACUGUAACUGACGCUGAUGCUCGAAAGUGUGGGUAUCAAACAGG
rnacentral:rRNA from 1 species